GGAGUGGUAGUUCAGUUGGUUAGAAUACCGGCCUGUCACGCCGGGGGCCGCGGGUUCGAGUCCCGUCCACUCCGCCA
rnacentral:tRNA from 1 species